AAUUAAAUCAGAACCAAGCUAUCCUCACGUGUUCAAAAUGCAGCCAUGUUUUCCACAUGCUCUUUAAGUUUCCAUCAGAAAUUAAAACUUAAAUGAAGAUCCCUCCAUCUGAGAGCCUCCCCUCCGCCGCGCCAGCGGCAGAGGUUCUCAUAAAAACCAAUCAAACACCCUCAUCUGUCCGAACUGACACGCUGAUCACCAAUAAACAAAUUGGUUAAGCUUCUGUUAGACUGUUCAUCAAUUUCAUGAAGGGAGCUAUUAGGAUUUAUUAACUUGGUUAAGCUUCUGUUAGAGGAUGAGUUGAAGUGUAACAAUCUUAGGUUCAAUUCUGUUAGCCUUCGAUUUAGUUAUGUGAUGUUUGCAGAAUGAAGUGACCUGUUAAUUAGCUUCUAUCCAAUUCAGUUAUGUCAUGUUAACUUGCCCCUUUUUUUCUGCUAUGCAUGAUGUAGCAGCUGGAUCUACUUGUGAUUUGCAGGGUUGUGACUUGAGAAAUUGGACAUGGUUUGCAUUGAUUAUAGUUAUGUUUGUAGGUUCCCUCAUUUGGAGCACAAGGAUUUCAUUGUCAAUGGUUAAAGACCCAUGGAACUUGUCCUUGCCUUGCUGUUGCUGGUUGGAUAUCAUGGAGAGGUCAUGGUUGGUGAGGUCAAGUUUAUAAACAAAGCCUUAUGGAAGUGCAAUGUGGAAUGCAUUAGGUAUAUCUUGUCAUGUAUGUAGAAUGUACUUGGGGCUUUUGUACAUGGAAUGUAAGAAUUUAUGUGGAAUGAUUUGUAACCUUGAAGAUGAAUUGUAUGAUAUGUUUGAAAGAUGAAAUGCAAUGUUGAAAUUUAAUUAUGCAUCUCA